CAAUGUUUCCCAUGUCCUGUCCCCCCUUUACCAAUGUUUCCCAUGUCCUGUCCCCGCCUUUACCAAUGUUUCCCAAGUCCUGUCCCCCCCUUUACCAAUGUUUCCCAAGUCCUGUCCCCAUGUCCUGUCCCCCCUUUACCAAUGUUUCCCAAGUCCUGUCCCCAUGUCCUGUCCCCGCCUUUACCAAUGUUUCCCAAGUCCUGUCCCCCCCUUUACCAAUGUUUCCCAUGUCCUGUCCCCGCCUUUACCAAUGUUUCCCAAGUCCUGUCCCCAUGUCCUGUCCCCGCCUUUACCAAUGUUUCCCAAGUCCUGUCCCCCCCUUUACCAAUGUUUCCCAAGUCCUGUCCCCGCCUUUACCAAUGUUUCCCAAGUCCUGUCCCCCCCUUUACCAAUGUUUCCCAUGUCCUGUCCCCGCCUUUACCAAUGUUUCCCAAGUCCUGUCCCCAUGUCCUGUCCCCCCCUUUACCAUGUUUCCCAUACUUGGUCUUGGGCCCCCCUUUGGGUGGAUGUUUAGUUUCUGCCCCCAGCACAACACAGCUGAUUCAAGUAACCUACUGGUCAUGAAGCUUUGAUCAACUGAAUCAGCUGUGUAAUGUGGGGGGGCCCCAGGACCCAGUUUGGGAAACAUUGCUAACAGAAAGGAGCUUUAGCACCAAACUGCAAGAUCAUCUUUUUAAUUUGAUUUUAAUGAGGACUGAUGAUGAUGAUGAUGAUGAUGAUGAUGGACUGAAUGAAAUGCUGAUGUCUUACUGUACCCUCGUUUCCACCCCCCACCACAACCCCCUGUCUUACUGUACCCUCGUUUCCACCCCCCCAACCCCCUGUCUUACUGUACCCUCGUUUCCACCCCCCCACCACAACCCCGUCUUACUGUACCCUCGUUUCCACCCCCCCACCACAACCCCCUGUCUUACUGUACCCUCGUUUCCACCCCCCCCACCACCACAACCCCCUGUCUUACUGUACCCUCAUUUUCACCCCCCCACCACAACCC
rnacentral:lncRNA from 1 species